ACUCUUGCCAAUGCCCUAAAUUCAUUAUUUUCCCACCAUUUUGAGUCAGAUUUUUUAUGAAUAGAUCUGUUUAUGACAUUUCAGGAGAAAGAGAGGGAGACCCAAAACUACCUGUCCUGGCAUCACAUUUGAGGAGAAGAAGUCGGUGAAUAUGACCUAGCCCGGGGGAGUUUCCAGAAGAAGGCCCAGAACCACCGGCCGCCAGGAGUGGAGGUCCUUUGUUGUUGCUCUACAUGUCAGGAGGCAUCGGGCAGUAGGUAAGACUAACCCUGGUAGAAGCACCAUCUUGAUACUAUCAUUCAAACUUCCAUCAGCUGUAUCAUUGUGGACUAAAAGAACAAUAUUCAUGCAGAUAUAAUGAUGCCUUAAGUUGAAAUGGAAGGUGUCCUGAAUCUGCACCCAUUCAUCUGGUUUCGUAACUCCUUUCAUAGUGCUAUUGGAACCUGCUCCCUACCAGUAUAACAUCAAACAGAUUGGAAGAAUAAAGGCCAAUGGGAAGUGCCUUUUAUAUUUCUACUUGCCACAAAGCAGUCCAUGGUUUAGCGCAAUCUAAACUGGACUAUUGUAAUGCUCGUCGUGUUUGAAUUA